rnacentral:rRNA from 1 species
UGGGGAAUUUUGGACAAUGGGGGAAACCCUGAUCCAGCCAUCCCGCGUGUGCGAUGAAGGCCUUCGGGUUGUAAAGCACUUUUGGCAGGAAAGAAACGUCGCGGGUUAAUACCCCGCGAAACUGACGGGUACCUGCAGAAUAAGCACCGGCUAACUACGUGCCAGCAGCCGCGGUAAUACGUAGGGUGCAAGCGUUAAUCGGAAUUACUGGGCGUAAAGCGUGCGCAGGCGGUUCGGAAAGAAAGAUGUGAAAUCCCAGAGCUUAACUUUGGAACUGCAUUUUUAACUACCGGGCUAGAGUGUGUCAGAGGGAGGUGGAAUUCCGCGUGUAGCAGUGAAAUGCGUAGAUAUGCGGAGGAACACCGAUGGCGAAGGCAGCCUCCUGGGAUAACACUGACGCUCAUGCACGAAAGCGUGGGGAGCAAACAGGAUUAGAUACCCUGGUAGUCCACGCCCUAAACGAUGUCAACUAGCUGUUGGGGCCUUCGGGCCUUGGUAGCGCAGCUAACGCGUGAAGUUGACCGCCUGGGGAGUACGGUCGCAAGAUU